rnacentral:rRNA from 1 species
CGUAGGUGGCAAGCGUUGUCCGGAUUUAUUGGGUUUAAAGGGUGCGUAGGCGGCCCUGUAAGUCAGUGCUGAAAUCCCCCAGCUUAACUGGGGUGGUGGCAUUGAUACUGCAGGGCUUGAGUACAGAUGAGGUAGGCGGAAUUGACGGUGUAGCGGUGAAAUGCAUAGAUAUCGUCAAGAACACCGAUAGCGAAGGCAGCUUACUGGGCUGUAACUGACGCUGAUGCACGAAAGUGUGGGGAUCAAACAGGAUUAGAUACCCUGGUAGUCCACACUGUAAACGUUGAUUACUCGCUGUUUGCGAUACACUGCAAGCGGCUUAGCGAAAGCGAUAAGUAAUCCACCUGGGGAGUACGCCGGCAACGGUG